rnacentral:tRNA from 1 species
GCAUUUAUUUAUAGUGGUUAGAACUUAGGUCUCGUAAUCGAAAGGUCGCGGGAUCGAAUCCUGCUAGAGGCU